rnacentral:rRNA from 1 species
GAUGAACGCUGGCGGCGUGCCUAAUACAUGCAAGUCGAGCGAAUGGAUUAAGAGCUUGCUCUUAUGAAGUCAGCGGCGGACGGGUGAGUAACACGUGGGUAACCUGCCCAUAAGACUGGGAUAACUCCGGGAAACCGGGGCUAAUACCGGAUAACAUUUUGAAUCGCAUGGUUCGAAAUUGAAAGGCGGCUUCGGCUGUCACUUAUGGAUGGACCCGCGUCGCAUUAGCUAGUUGGUGAGGUAACGGCUCACCAAGGCAACGAUGCGUAGCCGACCUGAGAGGGUGAUCGGCCACACUGGGACUGAGACACGGCCCAGACUCCUACGGGAGGCAGCAGUAGGGAAUCUUCCGCAAUGGACGAAAGUCUGACGGAGCAACGCCGCGUGAGUGAUGAAGGCUUUCGGGUCGUAAAACUCUGUUGUUAGGGAAGAACAAGUGCUAGUUGAAUAAGCUGGCACCUUGACGGUACCUAACCAGAAAGCCACGGCUAACUACGUGCCAGCAGCCGCGGUAAUACGUAGGUGGCAAGCGUUAUCCGGAAUUAUUGGGCGUAAAGCGCGCGCAGGUGGUUUCUUAAGUCUGAUGUGAAAGCCCACGGCUCAACCGUGGAGGGUCAUUGGAAACUGGGAGACUUGAGUGCAGAAGAGGAAAGUGGAAUUCCAUGUGUAGCGGUGAAAUGCGUAGAGAUAUGGAGGAACACCAGUGGCGAAGGCGACUUUCUGGUCUGUAACUGACACUGAGGCGCGAAAGCGUGGGGAGCAAACAGG